UGGGGAAUAUUGGACAAUGGGGGCAACCCUGAUCCAGCCAUGCCGCGUGCGUGAAGAAGGCCUUAGGGUUGUAAAGCGCUUUCACUGGUGAAGAUGAUGACGGUAGCCAGAGAAGAAGCCCCGGCUAACUCCGUGCCAGCAGCCGCGGUAAUACGGAGGGGGCAAGCGUUGUUCGGAAUUACUGGGCGUAAAGGGCGCGUAGGCGGAAUAUCAAGUUAGGGGUGAAAGGCCCGGGCUCAACCUGGGAACGGCCUCUAAAACUGAUAAUCUUGAGUCCGGAAGAGGAUGGCGGAAUUCCCAGUGUAGAGGUGAAAUUCGUAGAUAUUGGGAAGAACACCGGUGGCGAAGGCGGCCAUCUGGUCCGGAACUGACGCUGAGGCGCGAAAGCGUGGGGAGCAA
rnacentral:rRNA from 1 species